GCAACGGUGGCCGAGUGGUUAAGGCGCUCGCCUGCUAAGUGAGUCCCGAAAGGGGCGUGAGUUCGAAUCUCAUCCGUUGCG
rfam:Coccomyxa subellipsoidea C-169, whole genome shotgun sequence.